CCUACGGGGGGCAGCAGUGGGGAAUAUUGGGCAAUGGGCGCAAGCCUGACCCAGCAACGCCGCGUGAAGGAAGAAUGCUUUCGGGUUUUAAACUUCUUUUUUCAGGGGAGAGUAGAAGACGGUACCUGACGGAUAAGCCACGGCUAACUACGUGCCAGCAGCCGCGGUCAUACGUAGGUGGCCAGCGUUGUACGGAUUUACUGGGUGUAAAGGGCGUGUAGCCGGGUUGACAAGUCAGAGGUGAAAUCCUGCGGCUCAACCGCAGAACUGCAUUUGAAACUGUUGAUCUUGAGUACUGGAGAGGCAGACGGAAUUCGUAGUGUAGCGGUGAAAUGCGUAGAGAUUAGGAGGAACACCAGUGGCGAAGGCAGUCUGCUGGACAGCAACUGACGGUGAGGCGCGAAAGCGUGGGGAGCAAACAGGAUUAGAUACCCUUGUAGUC
rnacentral:rRNA from 1 species